AUAAAUUAAAAUAUAAUAAUUGAUAAAAGAAGAUGUUACCUUGCCUAAAGGUGCAAGUCGCAUAAGAUUGUUAAGUCUGUUGAGGAACGGGAAAUUGUUCUUGUUUCAGCCGAGUGAGAUUUGUCCGAUCCUCCACUGGUGGAUUUCUCAGAUUCUUGUAGAUGUUGUCAGUAAAGAAAAGUAACACCGGAUAUACGGCUUCAGCAUAGAGGCACGAGCUUUCGCGAUGUCACACAGAUCUGCAAGUUCCUCUGCAUUAAUUGAUAGGAAAGCCUGAGGUGGAAAUUCCGAGCGCAACUGUACCAGGAGUAUGACACAUGAAUAGCAGAUCGGAGAGGACGGCGGUACAUAUGGUACGAAUGUUCAGUUCUACUACUGAUGCACAUCAUCAUGACAAAAACUGUGAGAUUGAAUCGGAUUAGACUUUGUUUUUGUACUUUAUAACUGUUUAGUACAUUAUUUGUAUCUCCAAACUUUCUUCUAUACUUUUUGUAUAUUUUUUUAUAUAUUAGUAGUAUUUUACAUUUUCUUUUUUCAAA